rnacentral:tRNA from 4 species
GCCCCCAUAGCUCAAUUGGCAGAGCAGAUCCCUCUUAAGGAUAAGGUUCCGGGUUCAAAUCCCAGUGGGGGCA